rnacentral:lncRNA from 1 species
CCACGAACGAAAAGUAACGCCCACAUUCAUUACCAGCGGUCGUCUUUCUUCCUGGAACUUCCACUUUCGUAACGCUUCCACGACAAAGAGGCAGCACCUUACGUGAGCCCAGCUUCGCCACUAUCAUUAGAGGAAAGUGACGACCGGUGACGGCGCUUCUGCUGCGAUGUGACGUCUCGAAAACCUACGCAUCGUGGGUUACCUCGCGUUGUCGCUUGCAUGUCAUUACAGUCCAGUGUAUAUAUACAGCCAGCUCCAUUUGCAACGUACAAAACAGCUCUUUGGCUCGUUGCACAGUGAAGCUUUACUCUUCAGGGCAGAAGCAGACGGAUAAUCAUGAAGGCUGUGCUGUGUUUGCUGGUCAUUUGCCUCAUACUGGCCACUGCUGUAGCAAUUAAGGGCUUCGGCCACAAAGGCGGCUUUGGCGGCGGACAUGGCCACGGAGGAGGAUACGGACACGGAGGAGGAUUUGGCCAUGGAGGUGGUUUCGGCGGUCAUGGUGGCAAGUUUGGCAAGUUCCACGGAUAGUCACCAACAGCUCAUCAUGCACUCGACACAAUUUCUUCAAACGUGCGGCGACCAGAGCGCCCGAACAGCCGGCAAACGAAGAAGAGUACAAAACGCGCAAUAUAUUUCGGAAUAAAAUUUCCUUGCCUUU